GCAAGUCGAGCGGAAACGAAGAUAGCUUGCUAUCAGGCGUCGAGCGGCGGACGGGUGAGUAACGCGUAGGAAUCUACCUAGUAGUGGGGGACAACCUGGUGAAAACCAGGCUAAUACCGCAUACGCCCAAUGGGCGAAAGCGUGGGACCUUCGGGCGACGUGCUAUUAGAUGAGCCUGCGUGAGAUUAGCUAGUUGGUAGGGUAAGAGCCUACCAAGGCGACGAUCUCUAGCUGGUUUGAGAGGAGGAUC
rnacentral:rRNA from 1 species